CGGGUGAGUACAACAUCGGAACGUAUCCUUUAGUGGGGGAUAGCCCGGCGAAAGCCGGAUUAAUACCGCAUGAUCUCUGAGGAGCAAAGCGGGGGAACCGUAAGGUCCUCGCGCUGUUGGAGCGGCCGAUGCCGGAUUAGCUUGUUGGUGGGGUAAGAGCCUACCAAGGCGACGAUCCGUAGCUGGUCUGAGAGGAUGAUCAGCCACACUGGAACUGAGACACGGUCCAG
rnacentral:rRNA from 1 species